rnacentral:rRNA from 1 species
AGCGAACGCUGGCGGCAGGCCUAACACAUGCAAGUCGAACGAACCUUUCGGGGUUAGUGGCGGACGGGUGAGUAACACGUGGGAACGUGCCUUUAGGUUCGGAAUAACUCAGGGAAACUUGUGCUAAUACCGAAUGUGCCCUUCGGGGGAAAGAUUUAUCGCCUUUAGAGCGGCCCGCGUCUGAUUAGCUAGUUGGUUGAGGUAAUGGCUCACCAAGGCGACGAUCAGUAGCUGGUCUGAGAGGAUGAUCAGCCACAUUGGGACUGAGACACGGCCCAAACUCCUACGGGAGGCAGCAGUGGGGAAUCUUGCGCAAUGGGCGAAAGCCUGACGCAGCCAUGCCGCGUGAAUUAUGAAGGUCUUAGGAUUGUAAAAUUCUUUCACCGGGGACGAUAAUGACGGUACCCGGAGAAGAAGCCCCGGCUAACUUCGUG